rnacentral:rRNA from 1 species
CCCUUAGAUGUUCUGGGCUGCACGCGCGCUACACUGAUGCAUUCAACGAGUCCUUCCUUGGCCGAGAGGCCUGGGCAAUCUUUUGAACGUGCAUCGUGAUAGGGAUAGAUUAUUGCAAUUAUUAAUCUUGAACGAGGAAUUCCUAGUAAACGCAGUUCAUCAAACUGCAUUGAUUACGUCCCUGCCCUUUGUACACACCGCCCGUCGCUCCUACCGAUUGGGUGAUCCGGUGAAUAAUUCGGAUUGCGGCAACGUGGGCAACCGCGAUGCUGUGAGAAGUUUAGUGAACCUUAUCACUUAGAGGAAGGAGAAGUCGUAACA